rnacentral:tRNA from 1 species
GCUUCCCGGCCCGGUGCGACGAGCCGCCCGCUUUCGCACGGCGGGCGGCUCGUAGGGGGCCGUGACAUCUGCGGCUCCGCGCCCCUGGGGGGCGC